AAAAUUUUCGUUGUUUUCGUGUCUGUGUGUGUUGUGCCGUCCUUUGAAUAAUAUCAAAAUUCUUCGUGUUAUGCUUUCUGAAAAUCGGAACGAGGGGCGCCGGAGUGAUGUGGGACUUUCGGGAAAACGACGCGUCGCUGUACGAUAGGUUCCUGUCUCAGAUGUUCUACGCGCAGGAGGUCCAAACGGAGACGAGCGUCAGCCGCGACGUUACAACAGCCACUACGUCCGGUCCACUUCCUGGAGACUUAGACAGAGGGAUUAAUUUCAAGUCCAAGUUUCUCGCUUUCGUCUUCAACCAAUUUUCGAAGCUGCAGUAACUCUUCCUCGUUUCCCGCUAGAAGGACCGUAUUGUCUGCAAAUCUGAGGUUGGUAAUUUUGUGACCAUUAAUUGUUAUCCCCCCUUGC